ensembl:snRNA U2 U2 spliceosomal RNA
AUCGCUUCUCGGCCUUUUGGCUAAGAUCAAGUGUAAAAACAAAAAUUAUAUUUUACUCAUCUUUAGAUCCUUUCAGUAGAAGUUUGUUGACUAAAUUAAGACAGAAGCACUUACUGUUAUAUUUUAGCCCCC